rnacentral:rRNA from 1 species
AUGCACUUCCUUGGGCAGAAAAGCACAGUGAAAUUCUCGAUAAGAAUAAUAUGUCCCGUCCAACGGGAACACUGCCGCUGCCUGGAACACAUUUCAAUUCUCAGAAUACUCAGAAGUCCCAUGGUCCCAAAAGGAACCAUAGGAAGUUUAAAGGAAAGUGGAGACGCAAUGAGAAUCAGAAUAGAAACGAAGUACAAAAGGGCAAGAAUCAUUUUAAGAAAAAUGAUAAGGGUAGUAGCUCUCAAGCUUGCUACAGAUUGUGGUUGUACUACUCAUCAUGCAAGGAAGUGUACAACUUCUAAGCAUUUGGUGACGCUGUAUCAGCAAUCAAUUGGCAAGGGCAAGAAGGCUCAAGGGAACCAGUACGAAGCUCACUUCACUGGUCCAAUGAUUGAAAGUUCUCAAGACGUUCACCAGAACGAUGUUCAUAACAACAUGGAGAACCAAGAUCGGGCUCAGCAAAAGAAAGGACCACCACUUACUGUUGAUGACAUGUUGGUGAAUUUCACUUCUACUAAUGACAUAUAUGGAGAUAUGAUUUGA